rnacentral:rRNA from 1 species
AACGAACGCUGGCGGCAGGCCUAACACAUGCAAGUCGAGCGCCCCGCAAGGGGAGCGGCGGACGGGUGAGUAACGCGUGGGAACGUACCCUUUGCUACGGAAUAGCCUCGGGAAACUGGGAGUAAUACCGUAUGUGCCCUUCGGGGGAAAGAUUUAUCGGCAAAGGAUCGGCCCGCGUUGGAUUAGGUAGUUGGUGGGGUAAUGGCCUACCAAGCCGACGGUCCAUAGCUGGUUUGAGAGGAUGAUCAGCCGCACUGGGACUGAGACACGGCCCAGACUCCUACGGGAGGCAGCAGUGGGGAAUUUUAGACAAUGGGCGCAAGCCUGAUCUAGCCAUGCCGCGUGAGCGAUGAAGGCCUUAGGGUUGUAAAGCUCUUUCAGUGGGGAAGAUAAUGACUGUACCCACAGAAGAAGCCCCGGCUAACUCCGUGCCAGCCGCCGCAGUAA